CCCUGGAUCCCGUGGUAUAGCUAACACAACAAUAACUUCUGUAGCUUGUUGCUGUUUUCAAACGCCACGUGAAUAAUAAGGACUUUUAUAAUGCUCCGGUGACAUCAAUCCUGUGAAGUCCCCUAUGACUGCACAAAAAAACAUUACAUUUGGAUCCACUCUUUGGCUAAGUUUGAGUUCUGAAACAAAUAUUGCUUUGACUGUCAUGCAACAGUCUCGUAAUAGAGUACAGCAAAGUAUAACCCCUCGUGCAUGUGUAAAGGAUAAAUAGGCCACUUAAAGGAUGUUUUUAAUUGGAAUAAGUCCUAUGAAAUAAAUAUAUUUCACAGCCAUUCUUUGACAAGUGGGGUACCCUGCUCAGAUUUCCUCAGGGGUUAUAUUUAUCAUGACAUUAUUGAUAUGACAAUUGCAAUCAAUUGGGAAAAUAAGUACACGCAUGGAGGCCUAACGCACAUCAGAUAGCCUGGGAAACAGCUUAGGUAAGAAUUUACAAGAUUAAGAGUUAAUUUGGAUUGCGUCUUCCUGUUAUCUAGCCCCAGGCGAACGCCAAUGCGCUAUCAAUAAAUCCAAAUAAUGACUCGUGAUCGUUGGGUUUUACGGUAUAUUCCUUUCCGGGAAGGUAAAAGAAACCGAUUAAAGGUUGUGUAAUCAUUCACAUUGACCUCAGGAGCGGGCGCUCUUUUUCACGUGCAAUCUAAUUUUGUGUGUGAACAGUGAUUGGGUAAGGGAAUGGGUUACCGCUCACCCACGUGUGUUGGGGAGACAGGAUAAAUGGAGCGUGUGGACUCGCGAGGGACCACGCCACAGGACAUUAGGAAGCAACUGGCAGCUGUGCACUUUUAAAUCACAGAUUGAAAACGUAUUUCUUUAGAAUUACUUUGUUUUGGGUUUCGUUUGUUGUUCUUCCCUCGCACCUCUGAUUAGCACGGUUGGCUACGUACGGUGCUCACGAAGUUCAACAUUACAUACAUAGACAUACAGGAGGGCUCCUUAAUUCUUUUUUUGACAGCGGCAGAAGAAUGGCUCGCCAGGCACUGUGUGGACUUCUUCUCAUCCUCUGCGUCUCAUCGCUCUUGCGGAUGACCGACCAGGCGAAGAUUGCAGCAAAAAUUACAACCGCUGGAGAGGUGGCACUCCCGGCCGUGGAUGUCAACAUCGCGCAGGCAUUGGGCUGGGCAAGGAAUCGCACACGCAGACACUCCCCGCUCUCACUCUGCUGCUUCUGCUGCUCGUUCUGCAAGAAAUGUGGAUUUUGCUGCCGCACCUGAGCACGGGAGACCGGGGUACGGGAGAAUGAGGCAGGACCCUUGGAAAGUGGGGAAUCUGAGAAGAGCAUCUGGGAAGUUGGGAUCUGUGUAUACAGCAACUGUCCCCAGAUGUAUCUGCAGAUGAGCAUAAUUAUUGUCGCCUAUGUACUUGAUCAAUCCACUGCUGGACGAGGGCAGUACCGGUUGAAUUUUAUUAUGUGGGGGCAGGGGAAGUUUAAAUAGUUGUUUUGCGUAGACUGUAAACACACCUAAUAAUAUUUGGGUGUGUUGUUUACAUUUAAAGGAGCAAUUAAAAGUGAGGCUGAUGAACAUAAUCGCAAAAAAUAGACACAUGAACCUUAUGGCGGGACCCCAAAAUCCCAUAAGCCCCCAGCUCUCGCAUAAACAUUAGAUUAUAAUGUAAACAAAAACGUAUCUUUUUCAACAAUGGGUUUGAAGGAUGGUGGCAAGUGUUGUCUUGUUAAACUGCCUUUAAAACUGAAAACUACUUACCUGCAGUACCUCUAUUUAAUUACACUAUAAUAAUUUACACCCCUCUGUCAAUCAUCGUGUUUCUCAGUGUGAAUUUUUGAACACGCUUUGUAAACAGUACAUAAAUUAGUACGCGUUUUCAAUGCGCUGUUCAUAUUGUAACAAGCGUUUAUACCAAUGUUACUCUACAUAGUGGGUUGCCACUCCUCUUAUACGCAUUGAUACGAGCGGUAUGUGGGGACGAUGGCUUAACCGCAACAAAAAAAACCCAUCUGCACAGAUGCAUACGGACAACAGAAGUAUUAUCAAACAGGA